rnacentral:lncRNA from 1 species
UGACAUUUCUUCCUUACUAAUUUCUAAAUUUAUGACAUCCGCGGUAAGACUGUUCAUAUCUGUUUCUACAUAUGCUACAAUAUAAAAAAAUAUUUAUUAAAAAUAAUUAAAUAAAUCAAACUUACUCUAAUCAUGCAUUUAAACAGAAGAAACAUAGCCAAAAAUAAAUAAAAGAAUGUAUUACCAGUUUCUCCAAAUAGCCAAUCCUUACAACAUAAAAUUGCCUCCACAACAU